GCAUGUAGCUGAUGAUAACGAUAAUUUCGAAGUCAAGGAUGCGAAUUACUGGAACUAUACAGAAUCUAUAGUUGCUUGGUUAGAAACGACAAGGGGUUGCUACAUUGUAGCAACCCCUUGUCCUUCCUAACCAUUAAGCAACUAUAGAUUCUGUAUAGUUCCAGUAAUUCGCAUCCUUGACUUCGAAAUUAUCGUUAUCAUCAGCA